rnacentral:rRNA from 1 species
AUUUAGGUAGCGCCUCAUGUAUCACUCUGGGGGGUAGAGCACUGUUUCGGCUAGGGGGUCAUCCCGACUUACCAAACCGAUGCAAACUCCGAAUACCUGGAAGUGCCGAGCAUGGGAGACACACGGCGGGUGCUAACGUCCGUCGUGAAAAGGGAAACAACCCAGACCGUCAGCUAAGGUCCCAAAGUUAUGGUUAAGUGGGAAACGAUGUGGGAAGGCUUAGACAGCUAGGAGGUUGGCUUAGAAGCAGCCACCCUUUAAAGAAAGCGUAAUAGCUCACUAGUCGA